rnacentral:rRNA from 1 species
CCUACGGGUGGCAGCAGUGGGGAAUAUUGGACAAUGGGGGCAACCCUGAUCCAGCCAUGCCGCGUGUGUGAAGAAGGCCCUCGGGUUGUAAAGCACUUUCAGUGAGGAAGAACGCCUGGUGGUUAAUACCCAUCAGGAAAGACAUCACUCACAGAAGAAGCACCGGCUAACUCCGUGCCAGCAGCCGCGGUAAUACGGAGGGUGCGAGCGUUAAUCGGAAUUACUGGGCGUAAAGCGCGCGUAGGUGGCUUGAUAAGCCGGUUGUGAAAGCCCCGGGCUCAACCUGGGAACGGCAUCCGGACCUGUCAAGCUAGAGUGCAGGAGAGGAAGGUAGAAUUCCCGGUGUAGCGGUGAAAUGCGUAGAGAUCGGGAGGAAUACCAGUGGCGAAGGCGGCCUUCUGGACUGACACUGACACUGAGGUGCGAAAGCGUGGGUAGCAAACAGGAUUAGAUACCCUGGUAGUC